AAACUAAGUUGACUAUGCUUGGAAUUAUAGCUGGAAGGAUGUUCAGUCAUUGGAACUAUAAGAUCCGUCUUCCAAAUUACAUGAUAUAUCAGAGGGCAAGCCUUCUGUAUUCAAAGGUUACUUUUGCAUAGUUUGACAUGUGAUGCUGGAGCCCUACUUACUUUCGGUUGGGGGCUUUAUGGACAGGGUGCUGAUCUGGGUUAAAUUCGCUGCAUCCUACUGCACAACUAUUUGCUGGAUAGUAAAAAGUCAAGUCCAACUUCCCAUUCCAAACUUCUGUACAGAUGGUUUCUUGAUUGCAAAACUGUCAAUCUCGGUAUCGUUUACAGAAAAUUAGAAACUCAGUAGCAACAAAAAAAAGUUAGAGAAACUCAUUGCCAAUAGUGCUAAACACGAUAUACCUGGUCCUACUACUUAA